rnacentral:rRNA from 1 species
UGGUGGAGUGAUUUGUCUGGUUAAUUCCGAUAACGAACGAGACCUUCGCCUACUAAAUAGUGUAGCAUGGGUUCACCAUGUCGGCCUCUGGCCUAAUACACUUCUUAGAGGGACAAUGGAUGUUUAGUCCAUGGAAGUCGAAGGCAAUAACA